rnacentral:rRNA from 1 species
GUCCACGCCUAACGAUGUUACUUGCUGUGCGGCCUCGGCUGCGUGGCGGAGCGAAGCGUUAAGUAACCACCUGGGAGUACGCCGCAAGGUGAACUCAAGGAAUUGACGGGUCCGCACAAGCGGUGGAGCAUGUGGUUUAAUUCGAUGAUACGCGAGGAACCUUACCAAGGCUAGAAUGUAUGAGGAAUGCGUAUGAAGUAUGCAGUCAGCAAUGACCUUUUACAAGGUGCUGCAUGGCUGUCGU